rnacentral:rRNA from 1 species
GACGAACGCUGGCGGCGUGCUUAACACAUGCAAGUCGAACGGAAAGGCCCUGCUUUUGUGGGGUGCUCGAGUGGCGAACGGGUGAGUAACACGUGAGUAACCUGCCCUUGACUUUGGGAUAACUCCAGGAAACUGGGGCUAAUACCGGAUAGGACCUCCUGCUGCAUGGUGGGGGUUGGAAAGAUUUGGCGGUGGGGGAUGGAAUGGCGGCUUAUCAGCUUGUUGGUGGGGUAGUGGCUUACCAAGGCUUUGACGGGUAGCCGGCUUGCGAGGGUGACCGGCCAAAUUGGGACGGAGAUACAGCACAGGCGCAUACGGGGGGCAGCAGUGGAGAAUAUUGCACAAUGGGCGCAAGCCUGAUGCAGCAACGCCGCGUGCGGGAUGACGGCCUUCGGGUAGUAAACCGCUUUCGCCUGUGACGAAACGUAGGGGACGGUAAUGGGUAAAGAAGCACCGGCUAACUACGU